UUGGUGUGGUUAUUUGGAUGUACACUGGGUUACAGCCUAAUACUGGUGUGGUUAUUUGGGUGUACACAAGGUUAUAGCCUAUUACUGGUGUGGUUAUUUGGGUGUACACUAGGUUACAGCCUAAUACUGGUGUGGUUAUUUGGGUGAACACUAAGUUAUAGCCUGUUAUUGGUGUGGUUAUUUGGGUGUACACUAGGUUACAGCCUAAUACUGGUGUGGUUAUUUGGGUGAACACUAAGUUACAGCCUGUUAUUGGUGUGGUUAUUUGGAUGUACACUAGGUUAUAGGCUGUUAUUGGUGUGGUUAUUUGGGUGUACACUAGGUUAUAGCCUAAUACUGGUGUGGUUAUUUGGGUGUACACUAAGUUAUAGCCUGUUAUUGGUGUGGUUAUUUGGGUGUACACUAGGUUACAGCCUAAUACUGGUGUGGUUAUUUGGGUGUACACUAAGUUAUAGCCUGUUAUUGGUGUGGUUAUUUGGGUGUACACUAGGUUAUAUAUAGCCUGUUAUUGGUGUGGUUAUUUGGGUGUAAACUAGGUUAUAGCCUGUUGUUGGUGUGGUUAUUUGGGUGUACACUAGGUUAUAGGCUGUUAUUGGUGUGGUUAUUUGGGUGUACACUAGGUUAUAGCCUAAUACUGGUGUGGUUAUUUGGGUGUACACUAAGUUAUAGCCUGUUAUUGGUGUGGUUAUUUGGGUGUACACUAGGUUACAGCCUAAUACUGGUGUGGUUAUUUGGGUGUACACUAAGUUAUAGCCUGUUAUUGGUGUGGUUAUUUGGGUGUACACUAGGUUACAGCCUAAUACUGGUGUGGUUAUUUGGGUGUACACUAAGUUAUAGCCUGUUAUUGGUGUGGUUAUUUGGGUGUACACUAGGUUAUAUAUAGCCUGUUAUUGGUGUGGUUAUUUGGGUGUAAACUAGGUUAUAGCCUGUUGUUGGUGUGGUUAUUUGGGUGUACACUAGGUUAUAGCCUGUUAUUGGUGUGGUUAUUUGGGUGUAAACUAGGUUAUAGCCUGUUGUUGGUGUGGUUAUUUGGGUGUACACUAGGUUAUAGGCUGUUAUUGGUGUGGUUAUUUGGGUGUACACUAGGUUAUAGCCUAAUACUGGUGUGGUUAUUUGGGUGUACACUAAGUUAUAGCCUGUUAUUGGUGUGGUUAUUUGGGUGUACACUAGGUUACAGCCUAAUACUGGUGUGGUUAUUUGGGUGUACACUAAGUUAUAGCCUGUUAUUGGUGUGGUUAUUUGGGUGUACACUAGGUUACAGCCUAAUACUGGUGUGGUUAUUUGGGUGUACACUAAGUUAUAGCCUGUUAUUGGUGUGGUUAUUUGGGUGUACACUAGGUUAUAUAUAGCCUGUUAUUGGUGUGGUUAUUUGGGUGUAAACUAGGUUAUAGCCUGUUGUUGGUGUGGUUAUUUGGGUGUACACUAGGUUAUAGCCUGUUAUUGGUGUGGUUAUUUGGGUGUAAACUAGGUUAUAGCCUGUUGUUGGUGUGGUUAUUUGGGUGUACACUAGGUUACAGCCUAAUACUGGUGUGGUUAUUUGGGUGUACACUAAGUUAUAGCCUGUUAUUGGUGUGGUUAUUUGGGUGUACACUAGGUUAUAGCCUAUUACUGGUGUGGUUAUUUGGGUGUACACUAGGUUAUAGCCUAUUACUGGUGUGGUUAUUUGGGUGUACACUAGGUUAUAGCCUAUUACUGGUGUGGUUAUUUGGGUGUACACUAGGUUAUAGCCUAUUACUGGUGUGGUUAUUUGGGUGUACACUAGGUUAUAGCCUAUUACUGGUGUGGUUAUUUGGGUGUACACUAGGUUAUAGCCUAUUACUGGUGUGGUUAUUUGGGUGUACACUAGGUUAUAGCCUAUUACUGGUGUGGUUAUUUGGGUGUACACUAGGUUAUAGCCUAUUACUGGUGUGGUUAUUUGGGUGUACACUAGGUUAUAGCCUAUUACUGGUGUGGUUAUUUGGGUGUACACUAGGUUAUAGCCUAUUACUGGUGUGGUUAUUUGGGUGUACACUAGGUUAUAGCCUAUUACUGGUGUGGUUAUUUGGGUGUACACUAGGUUAUAGCCUAUUACUGGUGUGGUUAUUUGGGUGUACACUAGGUUAUAGCCUAUUACUGGUGUGGUUAUUUGGGUGUACACUAGGUUAUAGCCUAUUACUGGUGUGGUUAUUUGGGUGUACACUAGGUUAUAGCCUAUUACUGGUGUGGUUAUUUGGGUGUACACUAGGUUAUAGCCUAUUACUGGUGUGGUUAUUUGGGUGUACACUACGUUGUAACCUAUUACUGGUGUGGUUAUUUGGGUGAAAGUAUGAUGAGGGUAUGACGUUCCUUAUAAAGACAUGCUCAGUUUUGGCCACUGUUCAGAUAGAUGAAAAUCUUAUUUUGCAUACAGAAAGCUGCGUCAAAUUCGGGAAAUAGGCAGUAUUUUGAUCAGAAGAUGAAGAUUUUAUGUCUAUUCUUGGUAUGUUAGUGUUUAGUUCUUUAGGUCCACUGUGUCCUGGUG